rnacentral:rRNA from 1 species
CCUACGGGUGGCAGCAGUGAGGAAUAUUGGUCAAUGGCCGGAAGGCUGAACCAGCCAAGCCGCGUGAGGGACGAAGGUGCCAAGCAUUGUAAACUUCUUUUGUCAAGGGACAAAAUCAGGCUCGUGAGCCUGAACGAGGGUCCUUGUAGACAAAGCAUCGGCUAACUCCGGGCCAGCAGCCGCGGUAAUCCGGGGGAUUCGGGCGUUAUCCGGUUUUAUGGGGGUUAAGGGGUACGUAGGGGGACUGUUAAGUCAGCGGGAAAAGCACGGGGGUCAACCCCGGAGAGCUGUGGAAACUGGCCGGCUUGAGAGGUGGAGAGGUAUGCGGAAUGCGCAGUGUAGCGGUGAAAUGCGUAGAUAUUGCGCAGAACGCCGAUUGCGAAGGCAGCAUACCGGCGGGGAUCUGACGCUGAGGCACGAAAGCGUGGGUAUCGAACAGGAUUAGAUACCCGAGUAGUC